CUCCCAUCGCAGGCGGACAUGUGCAACAGCUGGCACAUGGCACCAGGAAUGACACAUGGCUGGCCCAAAGCCAGGUACAGUACAGUAGAGAGACCCGGUCUAGGCUAUAGCGACAGAGUGCGAGGAUUUAAAUCUCUGUUAUGGGCGGCUCGAACGCAGCGCAAACUCCAAUUCCAGAAAGACAGAUUCCACCAUAAAUGCAAGUCACGUGAAAAGUACAAGGGACUGGUAAACAUGAACAAAACAGUCAUUGAAACAUUAGCCAGAGCAGCAGCUGACUUUGAAUAAUAAAUGUUGGUGUUUGAUGAAUGCUGAAAAGUCAAUAAAAGUCUCUGAGACUAACUGGAAUGCCGUCUUAUUUUUAAACCACAAAGUCUUUCAUUUCUCUAUCAACACUCUGUCUUGAUGUACUCCAAGCCUCUUUGUAACAGAAGAUUGCAAGGGCCGGAUAUUGCUUCUAAAGUGUACGCUUUCCCAGAGAAAAUAAGGCUGGAUUACCAGUGCUUAGUGCAAGUGACAAUUCAGAUAUCUUGAAGGGACGAGGGGGUUUGAAUCAAUACAUUAUUACAAUUACAAUUUGAAUCCGAUAACUCCCAAUGCAAGUGAGCCGUAAACGGAUCAAUUAUACAGUAUCUCGUUCAAAUGAGCUUUACGUCAUCCAAAUACACAAGCUGUUGACUUACUCUUUCACAUUUGCGGUGAAUAAAUAUGUUUUUAAAAAAUAAAAAUAAAAAUAAACGAACUACAGCAAAACCAUUGACAAUCCAAUAUGGUUUAAAGGAGAAGUCCCAUCGAGAUUUUCCUUUCCAGUAUAUGCUCUAUGCGCCUCUACUACUCUAAACAUGACACUCUGGUUCAUACUGCCUUUGUGAAAUAUGAAUCAAGCAACAGAAUCCACCCAUUUUUUCGUCCAUUUCAAGGGGCGGCCAUUUUGUCACAUCCUGUCUAUUGAAAACAACAUCACAGUGCCGAAGGGCUCAGGCAACAUGAAAGGGGGCUGCAGUUAUUUAGGAUUCCCCAAAUCCCAGAAUCACAGUGAUCGAUUUUAUACUGAAAUCACGAAAAUUCUAAUUCGAAUCCAAAAAUUCCAUACGCACCAAAAUGUGACAGCAAAGCAAACCAGAAGUGCUUUUUCUGUAAAUAGUAACAAAAAUGUAAAAAGUAAGACACUGUGUGAAAGAGGGCUACCGUUAUGAGGAUGACCACCUUAUAUGCGUGGUAAGAAACGUGUGUAACCGUAACAGGAGCUGCAGUGGACAACAGACUCAUCUGCCAGGUUGUGCUUUGGAGUUUGGACGAGGACUGGGGCGGCGUUCUCACUGACAGCUGUGGCUCCAAGUCUCGUCCUGGCACAAAUGUACCCUCUGAUAACACAUGGCAGGGGUUCGAGCACGCUGCCUAAUGCGCACAUUGAGAGUGCAACAGGUAGCAAAG